rnacentral:lncRNA from 10 species
ACUUUUAAGUUUUAUCAGCUAGUUCAUGCUUGCGUUGAAAGAGUGGUCGUUUGCGCUGGGUCAUCACUGUGUAGUAUUGGGGAUACUUAGGUGAGAAAAAAACUUAACGCUAGAGACGUUCACGCACUAGUGGAGAAGCCAGGAUUGUUGCCCUAGAGUUACAGUAGAUAAAAGUACCUCAGAGAACUGCGGGGGCUCCCAACCUGGACGCUUGCACCGGAGUAUUAAAUCCAGCUAGAGAAUGGCAUGUGCAAAGAUACAGAGCUUUUAGAAGUUGCCUGCAUUCCUUGGCCCCUUCCUCACAUCAUUCCAACCAACUUCCAUCCUUACAAUCGAUUACUUUCCUGUAAUAGCUACAGUCAAAUGGGCAGCUGAAGAUGAUGAUGAUGAUGAUCUUGACACCGAGAAGCAGAAGACCAAUGAAGAUGACCAGACAGCAAAAAAGGAUAAGUUAAAAGAAGGUAAAAGAAGGCCACUCGUACUUGCUGUCUCAGUAUCUAAAGGUGGUCACCUUCCAGUAGAGAGGCCCACCCACUGCAGACCGUGCCACCGAAGGUGACAUGCACUUUCUGCCACCCAUCCAAAACCGUAACGUGAAUCUGCAACAGGAGAGGAAAGAAGAACCAAAACUUCCAAGGCCUUGCAUUUUUUCUUAAAAGCAUUUUUUUUUUUUUUUGGAGAUGGAGUCUCACUCUAUUGCCUGGAGUGCAGUGGCGUAAUUUCGGCUCACUGAAGCCUCUGCUUCCCGGGUUUAAGAAAUUCUCUGCCUCAGCCUCCCAAGUAGCUGGGAUUACAGGCACAUGCCACCACACCUGUCU